UCCACCUACGGGAGGCAGCAGUGAGGAAUAUUGGUCAAUGGGAGAGAUCCUGAACCAGCCAAGCCGCGCGAGGGAAGACGGCCCUAUGGGUUGUAAACCUCUUUUUUCGGAGAACCAAACCCGGGACGUGUCCCGGACUGCGUGUAUCCGAAGAAAAAGCAUCGGCUCACUCCGUUCCAUCAGCCGCGGUAAUACGGAGGCUUCCAGCGUUAUCCGGCUUUAUUGGGUUUAAAUGUUGCGUCUGCGGUCCUUU
rnacentral:rRNA from 1 species